rnacentral:rRNA from 1 species
UACGAACCGUCCAAACGUUACUCGGAAUCACUGGGCUUAAAGGGUGCGUAGGCCGCGCGGAGGGUGGGAUGUGAAAUCCCCCGGCUCAACCGGGGAAUAGCGUCCCAAACCGCCGUGCUCGAGGGAGACAGAGGUGAGCGGAACUGAUGGUGGAGCGGUGAAAUGCGUUGAUAUCAUCAGGAACACCAGUGGCGAAAGUGGCUCACUGGGUCUUUCCUAACGCUGAGGCACGAAAGCUAGGGGAGCGAACGGG